rnacentral:lncRNA from 1 species
UGCGUUUAACGGCCCGCAAAGUAUCUCGGCUUUCGCCAGUUGAGUUGAAAUUGCUUUGUAUGUAGUACGGCCAAGUCAUUUGGCUGUCGCUGGUCAUGACGUCCGCUGUGUGUCCUGCAGGUGGCUACCGCCAUGCGUUUCCCUCGAAGGAGCAGUUUUGGGAGCAGCUACCGUCGGCAACGUUUGCCAUGUCCCCGGAGGGCUACGAGAUCCUGCAGCUUGCACCAGGCACUAAGUUACCACUGCCUUACGACGUUCCAGCUUUGCUGUGUCGGCCCUGCUACCGCACCUUGUCGGAGAAGAUUUUUGCAUCUGUUGCGAAUUCUG